AUGACUACAUCCCUUUCAACUUGGCUUGGCUGUAUGUCACUGUCAUUCUAUUUGGAUUGUUCCUCAACUCCACCAUACCACUCUUUCUGGAGAUAACUGUAGAGGGCACUUUCCCCAUCGGUGAAGAGACGACCACAAUUAUGAUGACUAUGUUGAAUAAUGUAACUACUCUAGGCUUCCUCGUUCUACCCAUGGUCCCAUCCAUAGUUGACUUUGCUUGGCUGAACUGGGUGAUGCUAGGAUCUGUGGUUAUAUGCAUCCCUCUUAUGGUCUUCUAUAGAGAGCACUACAACCGACUUGACUUUGACGGGAGUCAUCCAGCAAAUGAUGGAAACUCACCAGACAUCUAAUGGAGAAAGUUGUGUUAAUUUGUAGUGAUUAUGUCCCCCCUUCCUGUAUCACUUCACGUUGUCCUUGUUUGCGCACGAUAUUAAGACAUUUUGCAAAACAGAACAUUUUCAAGUAUUUCAGUAUUCACAGAUUUGAAGGGGAAAAAAGAGAUAUUUUACGUAUUAAUUUCACAAAAAGGGUUAUAUAUUUCAAAGAGAAAGUUGUGAUAUGAAUGACACUGGCAAAUUCCUUGAAAAGGGGGUACUUAGUACUUUGUUUGAAUUUUUACUUGAUCAGCCGAAAGAAGGGUUGUAUGUAAAGCCUUUUUUUUAGUUUUUUUCAAGCAAAAAGGGGACAGAUUUUAUGAAAAAUAUUCUUGAAAGUCUUAUCUGAAAUAAGGGGGGGGGAUUUUUUACACCAAUAAACAAUCAUGUUACCCCUUUGAAUAUGAAAUACUGAACACCACCGGAACUUGCCAGUCCUACCCAGGCUAAAUUUUUUACUGCCAUGGGUAGCUUUUAGCACCCAAAUUGUAUAUGGUAUCCAAUAUAUUGAGAAUAGCUUGUCUUUCUUUUUGAAAUUCAAAAUGGAUUCAUGACUGUGAAGUUACAUU